ACGGGAGGCAGCAGUGGGGAAUAUUGCACAAUGGGGGAAACCCUGAUGCAGCCAUGCCGCGUGUGUGAAGAAGGCCUUCGGGUUGUAAAGCACUUUCAGCGAGGAGGAAAGGUUGGCGCCUAAUACGUGUCAACUGUGACGUUACUCGCAGAAGAAGCACCGGCUAACUCCGUGCCAGCAGCCGCGGUAAUACGGAGGGUGCAAGCGUUAAUCGGAAUUACUGGGCGUAAAGCGCACGCAGGCGGUUGGAUAAGUUAGAUGUGAAAGCCCCGGGCUCAACCUGGGAAUUGCAUUUAAAACUGUCCAGCUAGAGUCUUGUAGAGGGGGGUAGAAUUCCAGGUGUAGCGGUGAAAUGCG
rnacentral:rRNA from 1 species